rnacentral:rRNA from 1 species
CAGCCGAGCGGUAGAGAUCUUUCGGGAUCUUGAGAGCGGCGUACGGGUGCGGAACACGUGUGCAACCUGCCUUUAUCUGGGGGAUAGCCUUUCGAAAGGAAGAUUAAUACCCCAUAAUAUAUUGAAUGGCAUCAUUUGAUAUUGAAAACUCCGGUGGAUAGAGAUGGGCACGCGCAAGAUUAGAUAGUUGGUGAGGUAACGGCUCACCAAGUCAGCGAUCUUUAGGGGGCCUGAGAGGGUGAUCCCCCACACUGGUACUGAGACACGGACCAGACUCCUACGGGAGGCAGCAGUGAGGAAUAUUGGACAAUGGGUGAGAGCCUGAUCCAGCCAUCCCGCGUGAAGGACGACGGCCCUAUGGGUUGUAAACUUCUUUUGUAUAGGGAUAAACCUACCCUCGUGAGGGUAGCUGAAGGUACUAUACGAAUAAGCACCGGCUAACUCCGUGCCAGCAGCCGCGGUAAUACGGAGGGUGCAAGCGUUAUCCGGAUUUAUUGGGUUUAAAGGGUCCGUAGGCUGAUUUGUAAGUCAGUGGUGAAAUCUCACAGCUUAACUGUGAAACUGCCAUUGAUACUGCAAGUCUUGAGUGUUGUUGAAGUAGCUGGAAUAAGUAGUGUAGCGGUGAAAUGCAUAGAUAUUACUUAGAACACCAAUUGCGAAGGCAGGUUACUAAGCAACAACUGACGCUGAUGGACGAAAGCGUGGGGAGCGAACAGGAUUAGAUACCCUGGUAGUCCACGCCGUAAACGAUGCUAACUCGUUUUUGGGCUUUUGGGUUCAGAGACUAAGCGAAAGUGAUAAGUUAGCCACCUGGGGAGUACGAACGCAAGUUUGAAACUCAAAGGAAUUGACGGGGGCCCGCACAAGCGGUGGAUUAUGUGGUUUAAUUCGAUGAUACGCGAGGAACCUUACCAAGGCUUAAAUGGGAAAUGACAGGCUUAGAAAUAGGCUUUUCUUCGGACAUUUUUCAAGGUGCUGCAUGGUUGUCGUCAGCUCGUGCCGUGAGGUGUUAGGUUAAGUCCUGCAACGAGCGCAACCCCUGUCACUAGUUGCCAUCAUUAAGUUGGGGACUCUAGUGAGACUGCCUACGCAAGUAGAGAGGAAGGUGGGGAUGACGUCAAAUCAUCACGGCCCUUACGCCUUGGGCCACACACGUAAUACAAUGGCCGGUACAGAGGGCAGCUACACUGCGAAGUGAUGCAAAUCUCGAAAGCCGGUCUCAGUUCGGAUUGGAGUCUGCAACUCGACUCUAUGAAGCUGGAAUCGCUAGUAAUCGCGCAUCAGCCAUGGCGCGGUGAAUACGUUCCCGGGC